GGAGACAGUCACCGCGAGAGGGCGCGAGCCGAACCUGUUUACGGAAGUCCCGCCCUCACUUCCGGCGGCGGAGGAUUGGGAGGGACUGAAGGCCGCUUCCGGCUGUGGUAGUGUAGGGGCUUCGGCACGUGUGUCAUUCGCCGGGAUUUUUAUAUUAACCCUGCUUCUGGUGAACUUGUCUGGCCGGCAUUCCUUUAAGGCCUAAGGAUGAAGGCGAGAAGAAAUAAAAAACAGAUCCCAAGCUUUCGCAAGUUAAUAAAAACUAGUAAAGUCAAACUUGAAAACAAGCUAAAAAAUAAGCAGUUUAAACAGCAAAGCUCUCUCAAGAAGUACCGAAAAGAACAGAGGAAACUAAGGCAAGCUGUGAAAGAUGCUGUGUCUAAGAAACCCAUUCCAUUGGAGAACCCAAAGGAAAAGCGACCAGGUAAAAGGAUUGAGAGGGAAGAAGAGGAAGAAGAAGAAGCCCUUCCUUUAGAUAUGAUGGAUGAAGAUGACUUACAGUUAAUGAAGGAUUUAGGACAAAGAGCAUCUUUUCUAACAAGAGAUCUUUCUUCUAGUGAGCCUGUUCAUGCGAAGAAACGGAAGCAUGAACGCAUUAUAGAUAAAUAUGAAAAAAUACCAAGAACUCUGCAAACUGCACCAGAGAAGGAACUGAUUCAUUUACUUCCUAUCAAAGAUAAAAGUGGUAUAAUCCCACAGACUAGGGAGAAGCCAGUUACUGAUAGUAACAAAGAUGAAGAGGAUCAAGAAGAAGAGAGGGAACUUGAGGAAGAGAUCAUUGAAGAUCCUAUUCGAGAGCUGACCAUAGAAGAACAUUUGAUUGAGAGAAAGAAGAAAUUACAAGAGAAGAAGAUGCAUAUUGCAGCCUUGGCAUCUGCCAUAUUAUCAGAUCCAGAAAGUAAUAUUAAAAAAUUGAAAGAAUUACGUUCUAUGUUGAUGGAACAAGAUCCUGAUGUGGCUGUUACUGUUCGAAAGCUGGUAAUUGUUUCUCUGAUGGAGUUAUUUAAAGAUAUUACUCCUUCAUAUAAAAUCCGGCCCCUCACAGAAGCAGAAAAAUCUACUAAGACCCGAAAAGAAACCCAGAAGUUAAGAGAAUUUGAAGAAGGCCUGGUUAGCCAAUACAAGUUUUAUUUGGAAAAUCUGGAACAAAUGGUUAAAGAUUGGAAGCAGAGGAAGCUGAAAAAAAGUAAUGUAGUUUCCUUAAAGGCAUACAAAGGACUGGCAGAAGUCGCUGUGAAGAGCUUGUGUGAGCUGUUGGUGGCACUACCUCAUUUUAACUUUCACAACAACAUCAUCGUAUUGAUUGUCCCUCUCAUGAAUGACAUGUCAAAAUCGAUAUCUGAAAUGUGUUGUGAAGCUGUGAAGAAACUCUUCAAGCAAGAUAAAUUAGGCCAAGCUUCUCUUGGUGUAAUUAAAGUGAUUUCUGGUUUUGUGAAGGGCAGAAAUUAUGAAGUUAGGCCAGAGAUGUUAAAAACAUUUUUAUGCCUAAGAAUCAAGGAAGUAGAAGUGAAAAAAGAUACAGAAGACAUUAAUAAACCAAAAAAAUUUAUGACUUUCAAAGAAAAGAGAAAAUCUCUAUCAAGAAUGCAGAGAAAGUGGAAGAAAGCAGAAGAGAAACUAGAGCGAGAGCUUCGAGAGGCAGAAGCUUCAGAGAGUACUGAGAAAAAACUUAAACUGCACACAGAGACUCUGAAUAUUGUGUUUGUAACCUACUUCAGAAUAUUGAAGAAGGCCCAGAGGUCACCUCUCCUGCCAGCAGUUCUAGAAGGUCUUGCCAAGUUUGCUCACCUUAUAAAUGUGGAAUUUUUUGAUGAUCUGUUAGUAGUUCUUCAUACUCUCAUUGAGUCUGGUGACCUAAGCUAUCAAGAAAGUCUUCACUGUGUCCAGACUGCUUUUCAUAUUCUUUCUGGACAAGGUGAUGUUCUGAAUAUUGAUCCAAUGAAAUUCUACACACAUCUCUACAAAACACUGUUCAAAUUACAUGCAGGUGCUACCAAUGAAGGUGUUGAGAUUGUACUCCAGUGCCUUGAUGUCAUGCUAACUAAGCGCAGAAAGCAAGUUUCUCAGCAGCGAGCUCUUGCCUUCAUCAAACGCCUUUGUACCCUUGCUCUUCAUGUUCUUCCAAAUUCAAGUAUUGGCAUUUUAGCAACUACCAGAAUAUUAAUGCAUACUUUCCCCAAAACAGAUCUACUGCUUGACAGUGAAUCUCAGGGAAGUGGAGUUUUCCUUCCUGAACUGGAUGAGCCUGAGUACUGCAAUGCUCAGAACACUGCUCUGUGGGAACUGCAUGCUCUGCGGAGGCAUUAUCAUCCCAUAGUGCAGAGAUUUGCAGCCCACCUGAUCGCUGGAGCACCUUCUGAAGGCUCUGGAGCACUCAAACCAGAGUUGAGUCGAAGAACUGCUGCUGAACUUUUUGAGGCAUAUAGCAUGGCAGAAAUGACAUUCAAUCCUCUUGUUGAAUCUUCAAACCCCAAAAUAAAGGGUAAAGUUUUACAAGGGGAUUCAUUUUUGAAUGAAGAUUUAAAUCAGCUAAUCAAAAGAUACUCCAGUGAAGUUGCUACUGAAUCGCCUCUGGAUUUCACGAAAUAUUUGAAAACAUCACUACACUAGUAAAGGAAUGAAGAAAGCUUCCUAAGAAUGUCUAGGAGGAGGAGGAAGAAUGACCCUUUACGUGGCACAGGGUUCUGCCCCUAUGCUGAAUAUGUCAUUUCAUCAAGGAGAUCAAAAGCCUUUUUUUCUCCCUAGUAUUUGGAAAUUACUUUCUUGAUGAUGCUGCCUUUUAAAAGCUUCAUGUACAUUAUAGUUUUUUUAAAAAAUCUUUGGACUGGAUCUUAACUGAAGUGCAGUUGCUAUAUUAAAAUUAGGGCAUAGAGCACAGAAAAAUCAAGACCAUGAGAAGACAUUUUACCAUUUAGCUACUUUUUAUAACUAAAUACUCUUUAAAUAUUUUUAUUUCAAUACUGUGGAUGGAAAUGAGAAGCAUUCUAAAUUUGAGUUAAUAUAUUUUUAUGAAGAUUUUUGAGAAAAGAAAAAAAUAGCUUGUAUUCAGGUUCAUUGGCUUUUGCUGGAUGAUCCACUUAAAGAAGUUACCUAAUUUGGCCUUUUAAAGAAGGUAUUAGUGUUUAUUAUAGCUACUUUCAAGGAAAGUUUGAAUAUGAUUCUAGUCUCUGAAGUUCUUCAUGUUUUCUGACAUUCCCUGGAGGGUGACUGGAGAAGAAUUGCUCCAGGGUAGAAGCACCAGGCCCGAGACUUUACCAUUCUGUUCUAGGGACAAAGGAUACUCAAUGAGGAGCUUUUUUCCCCUCUUGGAACAGACGAAGUCUCGCUCUUGUUGCCCAGGCUGCAGCGCAACGGCACGAUCUUGGCUCACUGCAACCUCUGCCUCCCGGGUUCAAGUGAUUCUCCUGCCUCAGCCUCCCAAGUAGCUGGGAUUACAGGUGCCUGCCACCACACCCAGCUAAUUUUUGUAUUUUUAGUAGAGAUGGGGUUUCACCAUGUUGGCCAGGCUGGUCUCGAACUCCUGACCUCAGGCAAUCCACCCGCCUUGGCCCCACAAAGUGUUGGGAUUACAGGCAUGAGCCACCGUGCCCAGCAAUUUUUGUACUUUUUGUAAAGACAGGGUUUUGCCAUGUCGGCCAUGCUGGUCUCAAACUCAUGAGCUCAAGUGAUCUGCCCACCUCAGCCUCCCAAACUGCUGGGAUUACAGGUGUGAGCCACUGGCUUGGUCGUUUUUUUUUUUUUUUUUUUUUUUCCAAUUAGAGACAGGGCCUCACUCUGUCAUCCAGGCUGCAGUGCAGUGGCCAAUCAUAGCUCACUGCAGCCUCCAACUCCUGUGCUCAAGUGAUCCUCCUGCCUCAGCCUCCUAAAACUGAGAUUACAGGCAUGAGCCACCAUGUGAGGCCAUUUCCCAGCCUUAAGAGGCACACACUCCCCCUUUGAGGUCCCUGUUUUUCAGGAACUUCACUCAUAAAAUGAGCCAUCAAUGCACAGACAUUUGUUCCAAUAAUUUAUGCUGAGGAAAGGACUGAGGUGAGGAAGGGAGAGGCUUUUACCUGCUGAAUGACAUCCUGUGCAGUGCUGACGCGGGGUGCUUUGAUGACUGUUCGAGGUUGCUCUGGAGAAACAUCAUGCACUUGGACAAAGAAACUCUCCUCCUCUGAGCUCAAGAUCACCUCUUUGUCAUCUUGAACAAUGUUUUUCUCUUCUAGGUUCUGUAUUUAAAAAGAAAAAAAUAUGAGUAAAUAAUAGGUUUAUGCAGAAUAAAGAAAGACAAAUGUAGCAAAAAUCUGA